rnacentral:tRNA from 1 species
GGGCGAUUAGCUCAGAGGAAAGAGCGUUGGCCUCCGGAGCCAAAGGGCGAGGGUUCAAAUCCCUCAUCGCCCU